UUACGGCCAUAUCACGUUGAAACACCGGUUCCCGUGCGAUCACCGAAGUUAAGCAAAGUCUGGUUUUUAUCUAGAUGGGUGACCUCUUGGGAAUACCAGGUGCUGUAGG